rnacentral:lncRNA from 1 species
UUUCAGAUUUUGGGGUGAAAAAAGAGGAUUUUGGUUAAAACAAAAAAUCAGGGAUCGAUUUAAAAUCCCAACUCUGAAUCCCAAAAAAAUUCCUGGAAUUUUUUGGGGAAUUCUGUUGGAAAAAUGAGGGGUAAAAAUCCACAAGGUGGAGCCUCCGAAUUUUGCUGGAAAAGGGAAAUUUUGGGGGAAAAAAUUGGGAAUUUCUCCCAAAAAAUCCUCCCUUGGAAUGGGAUCAUUCCUUAAAAAUCCCAUUCCAGCCCCAAAUCCUCACCGGGAAUGAGAAAAAGGAAAAAUAAAGGGAAAAAUUCCAUUUUUUUGGGAAAAAUCUUCCCUAAAAUGGAAGAAUUUUAGAAAAAGAAAUGAAGGAAAUCCCCAGGAAUUUUCCCAAACUUCCAACUUUUUAUUUUUCCCAAUUUUUGUGGCUUUUUUUUCCCUGAAACUGCCCCAAAUCCCAGCAGAGAAUUCCUCAGGGAUGGGAAAAUUUGGGAAUUUCUCCUCUUUUGUGGCUUCUUCAUCCUGGAAGAGGAAAAAAAAAAAUCAGGAAAAAUCCUGGGAAAAAAAAAAUUUAAUUUUCAUCAAUUUCCCAGGAAUUCUCCCCAAAAUCCCAACUACAGCAUGGAAAAAUCCUGGAAAAAUCCAAAUUUCCGGGAUGAAAUCCUCACCUUUUCUUGGAAUUCUCAGGGCUCUUCCACCUUUUCCUCUUUCUCCUCUUCCAGGAUUUUUUCCUCUUUUUCUGGAAUUUUUUCCUCUUUUUCCGGGAUUUUUUCCUCUUUUUCUGGGAUUUUUUCCGGGAUUUUUUCCUCUUUUUCCGAGAUUUUUUCCUCUUUUUCCGGGAUUUUUUCUGGAUUUUUUUCCGGAUUUUUUUCCUCCUCUUCCCCCUCCCCUCCCUCAGUUUGGUUUUGGGGGGAAAUCCCGAAUUCCUGGGAUUUUUCCGUCGGAUUUUCCUGGGGAUUUUCCCGGGGAUUUUCGGGAUUUUCCGGCUCCUCCAGGAACGGCGGCACCAGGAGGGGCCUGGGGGGCUCCAGGAAUUCCUGGGAUUUGGGGGAACCCCUGGGAAUUUCGGCUUUUUCCGGGAUUUUUUCCGGCCUUUCCGCGGAUUCGGAAUUUUCCGGAUUCGGGGGCGGCUCCGGGGGCUCCUCCGUGAAGGGAUCCUCACCCUGGGAAGGGAAAAAUGGGAAAAUUGGGGAAAAAACAGGGAAAAUUGGGGGAAAAACAGGGAAAAUUGGGAA